GAUGAAGAACGUAGCGAAAUGCGAUAAGUAAUGUGAAUUGCAGAAUUCAGUGAAUCAUCGAAUCUUUGAACGCACCUUGCGCUCCUUGGUAUUCCGAGGAGCAUGCCUGUUUGAGUGUCAUUAAAUUCUCAACCUCACCAGUUUUCUGAACUGUUCUCCGAGGCUUGGAUGUGGGGGUUUGUGCAGGCUGCCUCAGCGCGGUCUGCUCCCCUGAAAUGCAUUAGCGAGUUCGAUACUGAGCUCCGUCUAUUGGUGUGAUAAUUAUCUACGCCGUGGAUCGGGGCUUAGACUCGCUUCUAACCGUCCGCAAGGACAAUACCUUGACAAUUUGACCUCAAAUCAGGUGGGACUACCCGCUGAACUUAAGCAUAUCAAUAAGCGGAGGA
rnacentral:misc_RNA from 1 species